GGAGAGAUGCCAGAGCGGUUGAAUGGGUCGGUCUCGAAAACCGAAGUACGGGCAACUGUACCCAGGGUUCGAAUCCCUGUCUCUCCGCAA
rnacentral:tRNA from 2 species